CCCCUCUCCUUUGCAGUUAGUCUGCUCCACGGUUCCAUGGGCGCGUCUCAUUUCAGCACCAAGCUUUUUUCGCCUCAUGCUAGUUUGUUCUCUUUAUUUCGGCUGCUUACUAUAUAUUGAGGACUAAUCUGAUUAAGCUAAUAGAGAGCAUACUGGGGGAAAAAAGCCUGGUGGAGAGGUUGUCAUCAAAGAAUACUCCAAAACUAAAAGCCUGACUGACCUCACCAGAUGAAAGAUGAUCAACGUUCUUGUUUUCGGCGAUGACGGAGACUCAUGGGACAUCACCACCGCGCAGUGUGAGAGAAAUGUUUGCACAAGGCAUUGUGUCCUUGUUCCCAUACCUGAAGGAUCCCUACACACUGCAAAUGGAUAUGAACAUUAUUACGAUCCUAAUAGUGGAGAAGUGUACCUCUCGUAUAGAAUCAAAACCAUUCAGAGGAAUUUGGCUUCAUCAGAGAAACGACCCACUCAACUAUACUCUGGAGUGCCAACUGUUGAGAGGGAGUCCAGUCCAUCCACUUUGGCUACCCUGAGUGAAGACCAGUGCUGAGAGGCCAUGAAAUUGACCUUUGAGUACAGGAAGGAUACAGGAUGACCCACGACCUGGGUAAAUGCUCCACCAUCUUAACCGAAUUUCCACGCUUUCUG